rnacentral:tRNA from 1 species
AGAAGAUUAGUUAAUUUUUAUAACAAUGAGCUGUCAAAUCAUAAUAGCUGGUUAAAUUCCAGUAUCUUCUU